rnacentral:rRNA from 1 species
AUUGAACGCUGGCGGCAGGCUUAACACAUGCAAGUCGAGCGAGCGGCUGACGUGUGAGUAAUGUCUUGGAAACUUCCUGAUGGAGGGGGAUAACUACUGUAAACGGUAGCUAAUACCGCAUACCAUCAGAUGUGCCCAGCUGGGAUUAGCUAGUAGGUGGGGUAAUGGCUCACCUAGGCGACGAUCCCUAGCUGGUCUGAGAGGAUGACCCGCCACGCGGGAACUGAGACUCGUGCCAGACUCCUACGGGAGGCAGCAGUGGGGAAUAUUGCACAAUGGGCGCAAGCCUGAUGCAGCCAUGCCGCGUGUGUGAAGAAGGCCUUCGGGUUGUAAAGCACUUUCAGCGAGGAGGCGUUACUCGCAGAAGAAGCACCGGCUAACUCCGUGCCAGCAGCCGCGGUAAUAC